rnacentral:rRNA from 1 species
UACGAAAGGGGCUAGCGUUGUUCGGAAUUACUGGGCGUAAAGCGCACGUAGGCGGCCUUGUAAGUUGGGAGUAAAAUCCCGGGGCUCAACUCCGGAACUGCCUUCAAGACUGCAAAGCUAGAGGACGCGAGAGGUUAGCGGAAUUCCGAGUGUAGAGGUGAAAUUCGUAGAUAUUCGGAAGAACACCAGUGGCGAAGGCGGCUAACUGGCGCGUUUCUGACGCUGAGGUGCGAAAGCGUGGGGAGCAAACAGG